rnacentral:lncRNA from 1 species
CCUUGACGUAGAACCUUUUAAAAUCUUCUCUUUAAAGCUGUUCCUUAGAGCAAUCACUCUUUUCUGAAAAUAAAACAAGCAAACAAACAAGACAAAAAAACCCCCCAAAAAAACAGUUCAUAAUGUUUUUGUUUUGAAUGGAGCCUAGACUGACCUGCAUAGCUACUUUUUAACAAUAUCAGUGUAAACAAUUAACUCAUUAAAUAAUUUCAAUAUGCAUUUGGAGCUAGAACAGUUGAUCUAUGCUGCUUAAAGGAGUUCAGCUAUAAAGUGAACUUUUUCAAAAGUCAUUAGAGAAUAAAUUUCUGCAGUUCUUUCAUUCUAUGCUAGAGAAUAAACUGUAGAAUUAAAAUCCCUGGGGUUUUUUGGGGUUGGGGGGGUUUUGUUUUUUGUUUUGGUUUUUUUUUUCUUUUUUCUUUUUCUUCUCUCUGAUAGGUAUUUUGCAUGUUGGGUAUCAGCUUUAGUGGUGUGGGAAAAAUGCUGCAAGUCCCUCCAAAAUUCCUUCUUUGUAGAUGCUGGAUAUUCAUGUAGUAAUUUACCCUUGGAAAGCAUAAUAACAGAGUGAGGUUGCUGCAGGAGCAGACCAGGACAAGAUGUGACCCCUGUUUCACAUUCUGUUUUGUGUCCUUGCUCUAGAAGAACUUAGCUGCAAUGGGCUUUUCUCUCACACCUGCAGCAGCUCUGGGAGACAAGCUGAUGCAGCAGGAUGGCAGCCAAAGAGGCUUUAGCUCCAUGCAUCUUCUCUGGUACCAGAGCAACAGGGCAUAUAGACAUUAAUAUACUCCAGUCUUGUCAGGCAGUUGUGGAACAGAGCUUGUUAGGCCUUCAUGUGCCUUUUAUUGCAAAACCACUACUGAGAUCUGGGCUUAUAAAAUUAAACAUAUUAAUUUCCUGCCCUCCCUCAAAACUUCUCCAUGUGAAAAGAUGGAAGGAAUAGAAAAAUCUGUCCAAGGUAGUCUUCCCCAAGACUGCCAGAACCCUGGAUGUGACUGAGCUCACAAAUUCAUCCUGUGAGAGACCUCAGAUUUAGUCUUGACACGUGGAUCAAGGUGUACAUGAUAAGAGCAACAACAGCAAUUAAAGUAUUUAUUGUAACAUGAUCUAGUAUUAUUUUUAAUUUGGAAGACAGCCAAACUGCUUCUGUGAAUCCAAUUUUUCUCCCUUUCCCUUUGCAUUGCACUACUAAAACCAGUAAUAAAAUGUGGAG